GAUGAACGCUGGCGGCGUGCCUAAUACAUGCAAGUCGAGCGAACAGAUGAGGCGCUUGCUCCUCUGACGUUAGCGGCGGACGGGUGAGUAACACGUGGAUAACCUACCUAUAAGACUGGGAUAACUUCGGGAAACCGGAGCUAAUACCGGAUAAUAUAUUGAACCGCAUGGUUCAAUAGUGAAAGACGGUUUUGCUGUCACUUAUAGAUGGAUCCGCGCCGCAUUAGCUAGUUGGUAAGGUAACGGCUUACCAAGGCAACGAUGCGUAGCCGACCUGAGAGGGUGAUCGGCCACACUGGAACUGAGACACCGUCCAGACUCCUACGGGAGGCAGCAGUAGGGAAUCUUCCGCAAUGGGCGAAAGCCUGACGGAGCAACGCCGCGUGAGUGAUGAAGGUCUUCGGAUCGUAAAACUCUGUUAUUAGGGAAGAACAAAUGUGUAAGUAACUAUGCACGUCUUGACGGUACCUAAUCAGAAAGCCCCGGCUAACUACGUG
rnacentral:rRNA from 1 species